rnacentral:rRNA from 1 species
AUGGCCGGCACGGUGGAGGACAGCGGGAAGACGGCGCCGUCGUCUCCGGCCGGGCUCCGCGGCGCCGACCUGGGCCUGAGGGUGCUGCUGUUCGCCGUCUCGCUGUCGGGGCUCGUCGUGCUGGUCACCGCCAAGCAGACGGAGAUGGUGCCCCUGGUCCUGACGCCGCCGUUCAGAUUCGGGCCGGUCCCCGCCCAGUUCAAAGACUCGCCAGCGCUCAUUUAUCUUCUUGUGGCGCUGUGCAUGACGAGCUUGUAUAGCCUUGUGACGGCCGCCAGCUCCGUCAAGUCCAUGUCAAGCUCGGCUUCCUGUGCCAAGGGGAUCUUCGUCCUCAUUCUGCUUGAUGUGGUUUACGCGGGCAUCAUGGCGUCGGCGACGGGCACGGCGGGGGCCGUGGCCUGGGUGGGGCUGAAGGGCAACUCGCACACGCGGUGGAACAAGAUCUGCAACAUCUACGACAAGUUCUGCCGCCACAUCGGCAGCGCCACCUGCCUCGGCCUCAUCGCUUCCAUCCUCCUCGUCCUCCUCGUCGUCCUCAACGCCUACUCCCUCUACCGGAGAAGCCGCUGA